rnacentral:rRNA from 1 species
UACGGAGGGUGCAAGCGUUAUCCGGAUUUACUGGGUUUAAAGGGUGCGUAGGUGGACAGGAAAGUCAGUGGUGAAAUCUUCGAGCUUAACUCGGAAACUGCCAUUGAUACUAUUUGUCUUGAAUACUUUGGAGGUAAGCGGAAUAUGUCAUGUAGCGUUUAAAUGCUUAGAUAUGACAUAGAACACCGAUUGCGAAGGCAGCUUACUACACAGUUAUUGUCGCUGAGGCGCGAAAGCGUGGGGAUCCAACAGG